GACGAACGCUGGCGGCGUGCCUAAUACAUGCAAGUAGAACGCUGAAGGAGGAGCUUGCUUCUCUGGAUGAGUUGCGAACGGGUGAGUAACGCGUAGGUAACCUGCCUUGUAGCGGGGGAUAACUAUUGGAAACGAUAGCUAAUACCGCAUAAGAGUAGAUGUUGCAUGACAUUUGCUUAAAAGGUGCAAUUGCAUCACUACCAGAUGGACCUGCGUUGUAUUAGCUAGUUGGUGGGGUAAAGGCUCACCAAGGCGACGAUACAUAGCCGACCUGAGAGGGGGAGCAGCCAGACUAGGAGAGAGACAGGGACAAGACGCCUAAGGGGGGCAGGAGUGGGGAAUAGUGGAUAAGGUGCGGAAGCCGGAGCCAGCCAUACCGCGUGGGGGAAGAAGGCCUUGGGGUAGGAAAGCCCGUUUGUUGGGAAAGAAAAGGAGCAGGUUAAUACCCGGAUGUUCUGACGGUACACAAAGAAUAAGCACCGGCUAACUUCGUG
rnacentral:rRNA from 1 species